AGUGAACGCUGGCGGUAGGCCUAACACAUGCAAGUCGAACGGCAGCACAGUAAGAGCUUGCUCUUACGGGUGGCGAGUGGCGGACGGGUGAGGAAUACAUCGGAAUCUACUUUUUCGUGGGGGAUAACGUAGGGAAACUUACGCUAAUACCGCAUACGACCUACGGGUGAAAGCAGGGGAUCUUCGCACCUUGCGCGACUGAAUGAGCCGGGGCCGGCGUGGCUGGGUGGCGGGGUAAAGGCCCACCAAGGCGACGCUCCGGAGCUGGUCUGAGAGGAUGGUCAGCGAGACUGGAAGUGAGACAGGGUCCAGACUCCUACGGGAGGCAGCAGUGGGGAAUGUUGGGGAAUGGGCGCGAGCCUGAUCCAGCCAUACCGCGUGGGUGAAGAAGGCCUUCGGGUUGUAAAGCCCUUUUGUUGGGAAAGAAAAGCAGCAGGUUAAUACCCCGCUGUUCUGACGGUACCCAAAGAAUAAGCACCGGCUAACUUCGUG
rnacentral:rRNA from 1 species